CCUACGGGUGGCAGCAGUGGGGAAUAUUGGACAAUGGGGGCAACCCUGAUCCAGCCAUGCCGCGUGUGUGAAGAAGGCCCUCGGGUUGUAAAGCACUUUCAGUGAGGAAGAACGCCUGGUGGUUAAUACCCAUCAGGAAAGACAUCACUCACAGAAGAAGCACCGGCUAACUCCGUGCCAGCAGCCGCGGUAAUACGGAGGGUGCGAGCGUUAAUCGGAAUUACUGGGCGUAAAGCGCGCGUAGGUGGCUUGAUAAGCCGGUUGUGAAAGCCCCGGGCUCAACCUGGGAACGGCAUCCGGAACUGUCAAGCUAGAGUGCAGGAGAGGAAGGUAGAAUUCCCGGUGUAGCGGUGAAAUGCGUAGAGAUCGGGAGGAAUACCAGUGGCGAAGGCGGCCUUCUGGACUGACACUGACACUGAGGUGCCAAAGCGUGGGUAGCAAACAGGAUUAGAUACCCUAGUAGUC
rnacentral:rRNA from 1 species